rfam:Xenopus tropicalis strain Nigerian Chr06_contig_56, whole genome shotgun sequence.
CCAAAGGCUCUUUUCAGAGCCCCCCACCUCCCCCAGCAAAAGAGC